rnacentral:rRNA from 1 species
GGUCAAGCAGAAAAGGGCAUAUGGGGGAUGUCUUGGCGCUGAAAGCAAGGGCGUGGAAGGCUGCGAUAAGCCUGGGGUAGCUGUCAAACGAGCAUUGAUCCCGGGAUUCCCUGUCAACCCAGUGAACUGAAACAUCUCAGUAACUGGAGGAAUAGAAAGUAAAAACGAUUCCCUUAGUAGCGGCGAGCGAAACGGGAACAGCCUAAACCUCAGAGCAUGCUCUGGGGGGUUGCGGGACACUCAUACGUCGAUCUGUCUGUCAGGAAAAGUCCAUGGAAAGGGGCACCAGAGAAGGUGACAGUCCUGUAUCCGAAGACGCGACAGUGAAGCAGAGUGCACCCAAGUAGGGCCAGUCACGUGAAACCUGGCCUGAAUCCGGGAGGCCCACCUCCUAAGGCUAAAUACUCUUCAGCGACCGAUAGUGAAUCAGUAGCGCGAGCGAAUGAUGAAAAGAACCCCGACAAGGGGAGUUCAAAGAACCUGAAACCAUGUGCCUACAAGCGGUCAGAGCACCUUAUGUGUGUGAUGGCGUGCCUUUUGCAUAAUGACCCGGCGAGUUACCGUUAUCAGCAGGUUAAGGCCUUAAGGGCUGCAGCCAGAGGGAAACCGAGUCUGAACAGGGCGUACGUUGUUGGCGGUAGACGCGAAACCUGGUGAUCUACCCAUGGGCAGGUUGAAGCGCGGGUAAGACUGCGUGGAGGACCGAACCCACUUGUGUUGAAAAAUGAGGGGAUGACCUGUGGGGAGGAGUAAAAGUCUAAUCAAACCAGGAGAUAGCUCGUUCUCUUCGAAAUAGCUUUAGGGCUAGCCUUGAGCCACUAUGCAUCGGGGGUAGAGACACUGAUUUCGACUGGGGCCCUCCAAGGGUACCCACCGUGACCAAACUCCGAAUACCGAUGUAACUAUCUCAGGAGUCAGUCGGCGGGGGAUAAGCUCCGUCGUCGAGAGGGAAACAACCCAGAUCGCCUGCUAAGGUCCCAGAACUACACUGAGUCACAAAGGAUGUUUAAAUACUGUGACAGCCGGGAUGUUGGCUUAGAAGCAGCCACCAUUUAAAAAGUGCGUAAUAGCUUACCGGUCGAGUAUUUCUGCACCGAUAAUGACCGGGAGUAAGUGUAGUGCCGAAGCAGCGGGCCCCUUUGGGGGCGAUAGAAGAGCGUUCCACGCCAGAUACGAGCCGUACCGGAAGGAGCGGUGAAGGGGUGUGGAAGUGAUUAUGCCGGGAUGAGUAACGAUAAAGCAGGUGAGAAUCCUGCUCGCCGUAAGCCUAAGGUUUCCUGGGGAAGGUAAAUCCGCCCAGGGUUAGCCGGUCCCUUAGUCAAGGCCGAAAGGCGUAGACGAUGGAAAGCGGGUUAAUAUUCCUGCGCCACCUCUGCUCUUGUCCGAUGGGAGGACGUUGAGUGAAUCGUGAUCAGGCGGUUGGAAGUGCCUGUAGGGCAGUUCAACGCAGGGGAUGUUAAAUGCACCCCGGACGUGGAGAGCUGAACUCGAGUCCUAAGAUGACGAAGUCAUGUGAAUCUUAACCAAGAAAAGUCCCUAGGUGAGUAUGUGACCGUACUAAAACUGACACAGGUAGGCGAGGCGCGUAGCCUCAGGCGCUCGGGAGAAUACUGUUUAAGGAACUCUGCAAAAUGGCCCCGUAACUUCGGGAUAAGGGGUGCCUCUGGAGGUUCACGCUUCUGGAGGCCACAGUAAAUCGGCUUCAUCGACUGUUUACUAAAAACACAGGACCCUGCGAACUCGCAAGAGGAUGUAUAGGGUCUGACGCCUGCUCGGUGCCGGUAAGUUAAGGAAGGGGGUUAUCCUUUGGGAGAAGCUCACAACCGAAGCUCCGGUAAACGGCGGCCGUAACUAUGACGGUCCUAAGGUAGCGAAAUUCCUUGUCGGGUAAGUUCCGACCUGCAUGAAUGGCGUAACGACUUCCCCACUGUCUCCAACAUCUGCUCAGCGAAGUUGAAUUCCCCGUGAAGAUGCGGGGUUCCCGCGGCUAGACGGAAAGACCCUAUGAACCUUUACUAUAACUUUGCAGUGGCAUUAGAAAUGGCAUGUGUAGCAUAGUUGGGACCCUUUGAAGCAUCGGCGCCAGCCGGAGUGGAGGGGAAAUGUGAAAUACCAACCUUGUUAUUUCUGAUGUCUAACCGGAACAGUUAUCCUGUUUCGGGACCCUGCAUGGCGGGUAGUUUGACUGGGGCGGUCGCCUCCCAAAGUGUAACGGAGGCGCGCAAUGGUUGGCUCAAUCUGGUCGGAAAUCAGAUUUAGAGUGUAUUGGCAUAAGCCAGCCUGACUGCGAGACUGACAAGUCGAGCAGAGACGAAAGUCG